rnacentral:tRNA from 1 species
GGGCGAUUAACUCAGUGGUAGAGUGCCACCUUCACACGGUGGAAGUCACUGGUUCAAGUCCAGUAUCGCCCACCA